CAGUCGCCGCGGUAAUACGAAGGGGGCUAGCGUUGUUCGGAUUUACUGGGCGUAAAGCGCACGUAGGCGGAUCGAUCAGUCAGGGGUGAAAUCCCAGAGCUCAACUCUGGAACUGCCUUUGAUACUGUCGAUCUGGAGUAUGGAAGAGGUGAGUGGAAUUCCGAGUGUAGAGGUGAAAUUCGUAGAUAUUCGGAGGAACACCAGUGGCGAAGGCGGCUCACUGGUCCAUUACUGACGCUGAGGUGCGAAAGCGUGGGGAGCAAACAGGAUUAGAUACCCCAGUAGUCCCUGUCUCUUAUAC
rnacentral:rRNA from 1 species